rnacentral:rRNA from 1 species
UCCAAGUGGGCCAUUUUUGGUAAGCAGAACUGGCGAUGCGGGAUGAACCGAACGCGAGGUUAAGGUGCCGGAAUGCACGCUCAUCAGACACCACAAAAGAUGUCAGUUCAUCUAGACAGCCGGACGGUGGCCAUGGAAGUCGGAAUCCGCUAAGGAGUGUGUAACAACUCACCGGCCGAAUGAACUGGCUCUGAAAAUGGAUGGCGCUCAAGCGUGCUACCUAUACCUCGCCGCCAGGGUAGAAACGAUGCCCUGGCGAGUAGGCUGGCGUGGAGGUCCGUGACGAAGCCUUGGGGGUGACCCCGGGUCGAAC